UACGGAGGGUGCAAGCGUUGUCCGGAUUUAUUGGGUUUAAAGGGUGCGUAGGCGGUCUGAUAAGUCGGGGGUGAAAGCCCGGGGCUCAACCCCGGAACUGCCUCGAUACUGUCGAGCUGUGAUGACGGGUUGAGGUGGCGGAAUGGGCGGUGUAGCGGUGAAAUGCAUAGAUACCGUCCAGAACCCCGAUUGCGAAGGCAGCUGACUAAGCCGUAACUGACGCUGAGGCACGAAAGCGUGGGGAGCAAACAGG
rnacentral:rRNA from 1 species